rnacentral:rRNA from 1 species
CCUCAAGAUAAGAUUUCCCUAGGACUUUAUGUCCUCUAAAGAGCCGUUCGAGACUAGGACGUUGAUAGGUUGGAUGUGGAAGCAUAGUGAUAUGUGAAGCUGACCAAUACUAAUUGCUCGUGAGGCUUGACUAUACAACACCCAAGCAGUUG